rnacentral:lncRNA from 1 species
GGGGGUUCUUUACGACCAAUUAGUGCUCUUAAGACUUGGGGUUCCAUUAUAAUUUCCGUUUCGUCCAAUUCGGUGCUCUCCGCUCCAAUAUCGGUCUAUUUAUUUCAGUAAACAUGUGUUUAACUGUAUAUGAGCCACGUAUCACAAUAGUUUCUCUUUAUUCGAUGUAUCCCUCGACAAGUGUAUCCUACUAUCUCUCUUUAAUGAUGUUAUGUCUAAGUUGCAUCCACACCAACGAAGUUCAUAUAGAAAUGUUGCACUCAUGUCGAAGAGUUUGCAAAUAGGUAACAUUAUAGCAAUACUAAAUCCUGCCCGUUCAUCUUUUCUUGUAACGGGUUCUAAAUGAGAUGCAUGCUUGUGAUAUAAAGCUCUCUAAUCGGAUCUCAAUUAGCAGAACUCAAAUGAAAGAUGUUUUGAGAAAACUAAGAAAAGAAUAUUUUGUAGAGUGAACUUUAACAUGACUUUUAAAAGUAAAAUUUGCGAGAGUUAUUUUUGGCAUUUUAUUAAGAUUAAAUGUUUGGCUAACAAGAAAUCGAACACGAGUAUUCAUUGGCCCUGGCCUCCUAGAUUGGAGUGAUAGCUUAAUAGCUUGAAUCUCUUUAACUUGAUUGUUCACUUUUCUUUACAAGCUUCUAGUUGGACGAGGCAUUCAUUCUUUGAUUUUCAGUUACCAUUUUGAGGAAAAAUUAUUAAUAGGUAACAUCAUUUGUUCCAUUUUAGUUUUUCUAUUGCCCACAACCCUACGUAAAACAAUCACUAGAAAUGGCCAUAGAUCUCUCAACUCUCCAAUGAAUGAGUGAAGUGGGCAUAAGAAAAAAUAACAUACAUCAAGUUCCCAAUUAACACACCCAAAUAACAGUAUGAAACCCUCUUGCACUUGCAGUGAUGCCAGAAUCCUAGAACUUCUCAAUAUAUGAUUCAAAUCACAUGAUGCAAGAAGUUUUUUGCCAAACUCAUUAAACCAAUGACAUUUGAAGAUAAUGGGGUAAU